CUUCGAUGCCAUGACCCUGUGGACAACAUCUGCUUCUUGGCAGCCCGGGCAGUAUACAACUUGUAUUGUAUCCAGCUGGUUAAAAAGCAGCUUGAGAAGGGACAUGGAGUGGAGAAGGUAGACACGCUAAAAAAUCUGGGAACAUACAGUCCCUCUGUGUUCUACAACAACACCUCACAAAUCGCUAAGGCUUUUGCAGAAUAUUUUACCCCACUUCAGCUAACAAAUCUGGUUCUGACAGCACUUGAUGGUUUGACAGAUCCCAG